rnacentral:lncRNA from 1 species
CAGGUAUGAAGAGUCCUGCUUCUUUAAUCAAUCUGUUAGUUUGAUUUAUUCUUGUAAGAUUAGUUGUAUUUUUUGAGAUCCGAAAAUCUAUAUUCAAUAUUUUCUUUCGAAUCUAAAUUUUUUUUAUCAAAGAGGUUUUAUAGAUAAACUUUAAAAAUGGUUCGAGUUGUGAUUUUUUUUGGAUUCAUACCACUUAAAUCUGAUGCUCAUUUUUUUAUGUUCUGCAAGUUUUGACUUGUAGCUAUCUAUUGGGAUAUUUCUCCUUUUCGUUUUCAAUUUCUACUACCAGCAGGGACGACCACUAACAGUUUGUCGUUUCAUGUUCUUUUACUGUAAUUAUAUGUUAUAUAUUGGUUCAUACUCUUUAAUUGUAAUUACAUGUCAUACAUUGAAUGAAAAUCUUGUUGUAGUGAAGUACAUUCUUCGUUCAAAGUUUUAAGCUUUGGCAAUGUCUUUUGUUCAUUUUAUUUAUAUGUCAAUUUGGUUUUUUUUUUUUUUUUUUAGUUCAAAUUUUUGUCCUAAUCUAUUGGUCACAAGUAUCUCCGUUAAAAUUUUCCAAUCUAGUCCGUAUGCUCUUUUGUCUUUCAUUCUUCAAUUAUCCUUCGUUCUUUUCUAUUCAAUUAAACAGGUUUUGAACAGAAAAGGCUCAUUGCCUUAUUAGAUUUUAUGACCUGUUUCAAAUUUUACUAUGUAAUUUACAUUUGAAGUUUGUUACAUUCUUAGAUGAUGAUGUUUUCGUUUCAUUGUGUUUGCUAUGAAGGAAGUUUUAUGCGUAUCCUAAAAUCCACUUCCUAUACUUCCUAUUAUUUUCCUUUGUUAUCAAUAAGUUGUCUUCAUAUAUUCCUAAAAUUUGCUUACUUGAUACAUUCUGGGGAUUGCACCAUGUUUAUUAUUGUUGAUUAUACUAAAUAGCGAAGCCUCCAUAAAUUCAUUAAUGGGAAAUCGAACUAUCAUGGCAAGAAUUUCUUACAGUGAUUUACUUGAAGAUUGAGUAUGGGUUGGCUGUCCUUUAAUAUUUUGGGCUCGUAGAGAUAUAUUCAUAUAAUAUUAUAUCUAAUGUAGAUGAUUUCCUUCUCCUGUUUUACUUUAGGGUUUGUCCUCCCCUUUUUUUGUCCUUUCAAAUGAUUAGAAAUGUGUCCAUUUCUGAUGAGUUUGCUUUUGAUUCUUCUGUAUUUAAAACUCUUAUCUUUUGUUUCCUUUCUUUCCUGAUUGUCCUCGAAAAUAGCAUGCCUCAUAACCAUAAUAGCAAAUACAACUUACAUAAAAUUCAUGCACAUGUUUUUAUAUAUGUUCAAAACUACAGAGUAGUCAUAAUGUCAAAUUAACUAACAAUUUGCAGCUUGAUUGUCUUCCCAUCCUGCUCCACAGUCCUAAUUUUCUGCAGUAAUUAUCAAUAAUCACAUUAAACCCAAUAAAAACAAAGUCAAGGACCUAAAAAUAAUCAAACUAUAUUGUAUACUAAUUCCUAAGCAACGUAAAUAAAGAGAUUAUGCGAGUAAACUCACAAAAUCCACUCCAAUGGUGCUAAUAUAGCUGUCAACAUAUGAAUCAUCCUGAAAAUAUCAAAGAAUAGCAUCAUUUCCACUGCAAAUUGCCCCAAAUGAAAUUUCCCAAAAAAAAAAAGAAAAAGAAAAAAAAACAGAACUGAAUACAUUAAGUCAAAACUAUUUCCAGAAGCAAGUCAGUAAACAAUAAUUGAAAGGAAACCCAUUUAUCAAUCUGAAAUCAAUUAGAAUGUUCCCUAAUAUCCUGGAGUUAAUUAAAGCUGAACUUAAAUAGCCUAAUCCCUAUUAAUUAUUAUUCUGAUUCUUCACAUUUAAAAAAGUCCAUCAAAAUAUAAUCAUUUUUCUUCAUUACACGCGCAUAAACUUUAUUUAGAAUAAUUGAACAAUGAAUAAAAAUGUUAAGAAUGGGAUUGAAGCGUACAACGAAUCUGAGAAGAAGACAAGAUUUUCCAACAGAGGAAUCACCGAUGUGUAUAUCAUCUACUGGAUAUAGUAGGGAGACCAUUGUUUUAUAUUUUACUUACUAUUGCAAUUUUCUAAAAUUGUAAUAAAUGUAAUACUCUUACUUAUUUCCUAAUAAUUCGAUGUAUAUAAAUAUAGCUCCUACAUGGGUGGUCACAGAAUUAGGAAUAAGGAACCAAUGUCAUGGUCGGACGAGAAUGAACACACUUUCAUCGAAAUUCUUUAUGAGAAAGUGAAAUCAAAUGUAUUGCAAUGUUCAACAUUCACGAAAGACGAAUGGGGUAGGAUCAACGAAAACAUGAUAGCUUCAACAAAAAUGGAUUACGGGAUAGAUAGAUUAAAGGGAAAGUGGAACCGCUUACGUAAGAUUCAUCGCAUGUUCUCUGAACUUUUGGGACAUACAGGGGUUACAUGGGAUCCAAAUACCAACAAAGUUAAUGCUGCAGAGGAAGUUUGGCAACACUUUUAUACGGUACAUGUAUUUAUUAAAGAAUAUUUUCGUCAUUAUUUUUUUCUUAUCAAUUUUUUUUUUAAUGUUCAACACUUUGACAAUGUGACUUCUUUUCCAAUGGCAGAUUAAUAGGUCGGAUUACAAGAUGUUCAAGAGGGAAGGAUGUAAGCACUACCACACUCUUGGGGAGAUAUUUAGUGGGACUACAGCUACUGGAGGAUUAUGCAAAGCCUCCACUCAGCUUCCAAACACAUCAGAGGAAGAAAGGCAACUAGAAGAUGAUUUUUUGAAUAGGGGAGUGCAUGUACAUGUAGAGAAUGAUGAUGAAGUCGAUGUGGUUUCUGAUACUCGUCGACGUAACGAAAUUGGUACAUCAAAUGAAUGACGACGUAAGGAACCUAAGAUCAGUAAAAGUGAUAAACUUGAGGCAUGCAUGGCACAAUGGUCAUCUACAGUUAGUAUGAGAAAUGAAGAUUAGAACACUUUAUCUAAAAGAAAAGCUUGCAAAGAUUCAAGGAAAAUCAAGUAAUCAGUCGGAUGUUGAAGUUAACAGUCCGGAUCCUUAUUCAAAUGUUAUUUGCAUGGACAUCUUAAACGAUAUUGAAGGGUUGUCUAAUGAGGUUUAUAUGAAAGCAAUACGGGCUUUUAAUGAUCCUAAUUUCAGGGUGUCAUUUGUGAAGAUGCCAGAAACAAGGAGAGGACUUAUCUUGGAACUACUAUGAUGUGAUUGUUGUUUUAAUUUUUCUAGUAACGUGUUGUUCUAAUUUGUGAUGUUGAAAUACUACGUUAAAGUGUGACUAUUGUUGUUCUAAUUUGUGAUGUUGAAU